GCACAGCUGAGGAGUCCCACAAUAGGACGAAACGGCCUUCUAGUGC
rnacentral:hammerhead_ribozyme from 1 species